UGUCAAGAUCUUCAGAUGAUGUUUGAGAAAAAAGUCAUCAUCCUCUUCGUCACUCUUCAUCCGUAUUUGGGGUAACAAACAGCUGCUUCCCACAAGAGACUGGACCGCUGAAGUCAGGUGACCUGCACCUUCCUUGAACAUGUUGGUAACUUACUCUGUAUUUGUUCACGGUGGUCACCCCAGGGUCUCAGGACUCAAAACGAGUGCUCUAUGGAUUGAACAGAAAAUGUAGUAUAAACAAGUGUUAAGUUAUGUCUUUAAAUGCCACUAAUAAUGUGUUUCUGUUUUCUUUCUCAUUAUGCUAACACACGCUCUUUUACCCCUCAUGUUAGGUGGAUCAACACUCCAACCAUCUGCAUUAGGGACUGAAUAAAGGAUGCCCUCUGUAGCUGGGAAUGUUUGAUCAGGCGGAUCAACAUUCCAUCCAUCUGCAUUAGGAUCUACCUUAGAGACACUCACUGGAGCUGUAAAGGGAAGCAGGUCACUUACUUUUCAUUCGUCCUUGGUGGUCACCCCAGGGUCUCUAGAGUGAAAAUUACUCAAUCUAUGGAUUAAACAGAAAAUGUAGUUUUAUGAAGUGCAAUUUGGAACAUUCUUCCAGUUGUCGGCAACUUUGUGAAAAAGGCUGGAAACUAAAAUGCAGAAUUCUGGCCUGGUGUUUGGUCCGUGCUGUCUUUGGCUCUUGCAUCUCCAUCAUCCUGACCCUCUUUAGCAGCCUGUCCAUGUAUUUAUUUGGAGGCCACCAUGAGCACCCAUCUGCAUAAUAUGACUUUGUUACUCAGUUGUCCAUGCUCCUACAAAUUCUACAUUUUUUGUAAAGCUGCAACAAGUUGAAACCCUAUAAUUAUUAACAUUUGAUUUUGAAUUAUGUAAUUCAAAUACAUGAAUAAGUAACAAAAGCAGAAAUAUAUUAAGACAUUACCUUUUUGUUGAUUGUUUACUAAUCUGUAAACCCUUUUGCAUUCUCAUAAUUGAUCAUCAUAACUUGGUAUACAGUGGAUGUGUGGCUGUAGAUAACUUUCUGAAGUCAAUUUAAAAAGGCAAAAGUUAAUAAAUUCUAAAUUGGUCAAAUAUACAUUGUUGUAUUUUCACCAUUUUGAUCUUAUUUAGGCAUUUCAUAACUUGAGGGGAAAUUUACGUAUACUGAUGUUUCAAAUCAAAUAUUAAUUUAUUAAUGACAGCUAAUCAUUUUAUAAAGAUUUUUUAUAACAAUAUUUAUUUAUAUAAUAUCAAUUUAAUACAUUUAUUUCGUUACACCUACAUCACUGAGCGCAAGGGAGUGCAGCCAACAAAUACAUUCAGGUGUGUUUGACUUAACACCGAGAUGCGCAGACAGCACGUGGUAUGACAUCAAGUACCGCGAGAGUUUGGGAAAGCCCCGGAAAAGGUUUGAACUCGCGGUACUUGAUGUCACGAUCGGUUUGCGCGUAGAUCAGCAUGAAGUCAAACACAUCUGAGAGAUGUGUGGGCUGCCUGCCCUGCACCCAACGUUGCGAUCAUUCAAUAGAGUGCAACCUCAAUUGGUUUUUGCAGCUUCUGGGUCUCGUGUAGAACGAUCACAGAACGAUUUUUUUUGUUCUUUUCCAACUCGAUGUUCCAACGGGUGAAGCAACAGUGCUGACGGCAGUUUCAGUGUCAAGUUUUCAUGCCAUGACCACUGGGGCGGAAACCAUUAUGACAUUGCCUUGGACAUCAAACUAAACCAUCUCAUUCUGGCUUUUGAGGUGGAUUCUAACCUCGAAAUCUCAGAAGGACAGGUCUCAGAUGGACGCAGCCUCCAUAGGAUGCAACCUUGCAUUUGAGAAACACCCAUAGAACGGAGAAAGUCAUGGGUUCUGCUGCUAAGGUUGUCAUAAACGUCUUUUAUUCUGCUUACCUGACUCAUGCAGAAUUCUGGCUUGAUGUUUGGUCCACCUGUUAGCUGGCUCUGGUGCUUGGUAGUCUUCUCAAACCUCUGAAUCAAGACCACCAUGAGAGGCCUUCUGAAGACCAUCAUUACGCUUCAGAUCCAGUUGUCUUUACUAAGAGCCUACCACAAUCCCUGUGCACCAGCUAUGGAAAGUGCAGACCAAACUUCUACCUCCACCUAUAGAACUGAACUGGAGUCUAUGAACUAAUGCUGUGUUCGAGACAACUUGGAUGUUGGAUAUUAUUGACCUUAAACCCGUAAGAAGUCAGGAACAGGAAACAAAGUGGAGUAUCCGACUUCUCAACUUGGAACAGAUCGAUCAACACCGACCUCAACGAGAUGCGUCAUUUGACAUUGCAGACAAGAUCCUUUCUCUUUUUAAUGCAGCACUUAAGGAUGAACCACCCUGAUCUACUAAGAUGCACAGAUUCAACUCUGGCCCAACAUCAUCCCCAUACCUCAUCUGCCAUCAGUUUAAUUUAAUGUCUGUCAAUUGCAAAUGCUAUUUAUUUCAGUUAUAUUACAACUUAAUAUUAAAGGAAUAGUCUACCCUUUUGCCAUAUUAAACUAUGUUAUUACCUCAACCUAGAUGAAUUAAUACAUACCUAUCUUUUUUCAAUGCGUGCACCGUACAGCGCGUUGUGAAUGUGUUAGCAUUUAGCCUAGCCCCAUUCAUUCCUAUGGUACCAAAAAAAGUUUUAUUUUGUGGCACCAUACUUACUGGUAUAACUCCUCAUGUAACAGUCUUUAAAUAGGGAAAACACGAAAGUGUUUGGUGGCUUCCCUGUUUGGUACCAUAGGAAUGAAUGGGACUAGGCUAAAUGCUAACACAUUCACGACGCGCUGUACAGUGCACGCAUUGAAAAACAAUAGAUAUGUAUUAAUUCGUCUAAGUUGAGGUAAUAACAUAGUUUAAUAUGGCAAAAGGGUAGACUAUUCCUUUAACUUUAAUUGAGACUAGUAUUGUGUAAAGCUGGGGUUUCCAAACUUCUCAUUUCAAAACCUAUUAGACAAGUGUAAUCUAUUCUAGACCCACUAAAAUAUUUUUAAAUAUACAUUUUUUAAUGGGGUAAAACACAUUUGUUCUCUUUCAGUGGAGACAUUUUAUUUUCAUAAUAUUUCAUAAUGUAAAGUAUAUAUAAGUUUAUUUGCAAUACCAAAUAUUUCAUGGUAUAUUCUUUCAAAACCAUUGUCAUUGUUAAUUAUUAAUUUGGCCAAACUGUUGUUGCAUCAUUACGGUGUGCAACACACCUUAACCUACUGUGUGACGGACAAGUGGGUCCUCCUGACACACAAUUUAAAA